GUGAGGAAUUUUGCGCAAUGGGCGAAAGCCUGACGCAGCAACGCCGCGUGGAUGAUGAAGGCCUUCGGGUCGUAAAAUCCUGUCAGGUGGGAAGAAACCGGGGAAUUUAAUAGAUUUCCCGUUUGACUGUACCACCAGAGGAAGCCCCGGCUAACUCCGUGCCAGCAGCCGCGGUAAUACGGAGGGGGCAAGCGUUGUUCGGAAUUACUGGGCGUAAAGGGCGUGUAGGCGGUCGGGUGUGUCUGGCGUGAAAGCCCUUGGCUCAACCAAGGAAUUGCGUCUUAUACUGCCUGACUUGAGUCCGGGAGAGGAGAGUGGAAUUCCCAGUGUAGCGGUGAAAUGCGUAGAUACUGGGAGGAACACCGGUGGCGAAGGCGGCUCUCUGGACCGGUACUGACGCUGAGGCGCGAAAGCUAGGGGAGCAAACAGG
rnacentral:rRNA from 1 species